UACACAACACCCCAUAACUCUCCUGCACUGUAGCCCCUUACAUAAUGCUCCCUUAUAUAUAGAUAAUGUACAUACGUGUGUGUGUGUAUAUACAGAGCGAGACUGUGUAAAUAGUGUUUACAUAUAGUGUGUACAUAUAGUGUGUAUAUAUAGUGUGUCGUUUGUGUGGGAACAGGAAAAAAUUAAAGGAAAAACGGAAA